rnacentral:rRNA from 1 species
AGUGAACGCUGGCGGUAGGCCUAACACAUGCAAGUCGAACGGCAGCACAGUAAGAGCUUGCUCUUACGGGUGGCGAGUGGCGGACGGGUGAGGAAUACAUCGGAAUCUACUUUUUCGUGGGGGAUAACGUAGGGAAACUUACGCUAAUACCGCAUACGACCUACGGGUGAAAGCAGGGGAUCUUCGGACCUUGCGCGAUUGAAUUAGCCGAUGUCGGAUUAGCUAGUUGGCGGGGUAAAGGCCCACCAAGGCGACGAUCCGUAGCUGGUCUGAGAGGAUGAUCAGCCAAACUGGAACUGAGACACGGUCCAGACUCCUACGGGAGGCAGCAGUGGGGAAUAUUGGACAAUGGGCGCAAGCCUGAUCCAGCCAUACCGCGUGGGUGAAGAAGGCCUUCGGGUUGUAAAGCCCUUUUGUUGGGAAAGAAAAGCAGCAGGUUAAUACCCCGCUGUUCUGACGGUACCCAAAGAAUAAGCACCGGCUAACUUCGUG